AGCCGGUUGUCUCCCGUGGCCAGCAGAGGUCGGGAGUUGGGAAGGAAGAAACUUGGAGUGUUGAAAGCCAGUGCAAUCUCCUGAACACACGAGCCCGCCUUCGGGACAAAGCAUGGCGUCUGGAAGAGGAGGGGGGAGAUACCAGGCUUGGCCUACAUCUGCAACAACCGCAGCAGCAGCAACAGCAGCUGAUACAGCAGCAACAACAGCCGGGGCCAGCGACAGGGGAGAUAAUGGAGCUGCCCAAGACCUGGGGAUGAGCACCACUCGGUCCAGCCGAGACAACAGACGGCGACUCACGAAGCGCGCGCUGUCGUCCCAGUUUUCCGAAG